UCAGUGAAGUGAAGUGACGUUCACGUAACUCGUAAUUCAUGCAUCGUAAAAUAUUAUUCGUGUUGAGUUGAGUUGUUGCAUAAAGUGUUAGGUUAACAUUCCGUGGUUAUUUUAUUGGUAGAAUUUAUUGUGUGUAUAAUGUUUUUGUGCCAAGACGUGAGUAAUAAUUUUUAUGUGAAAAUUGUUUGUUCUUUCGUAGCCUAGUUCAGAAGUUAAAACUGAACAUUAGUGACCUUACUUUAGGCACAAGUUUACUGUUAGCCUUUAAAUUAUUUACUGAAUUCCGAGUUUUUUAUUUUGGGAUUUUUAAUGAUGGAAACCACAUAUUUGAACUCAGAAAACAUAUCUUUAAUAGAGAAUUUGACAGGUGAGAAAAUUGUAGGGCUUAAAAGAAAGCUUAGAAUUUCAAACAAUAAAACGGAUGGUGAAUCUAGUAGGGACUCAAACGUAUCCUCUUCAUUUUCAACUUGUAUGCCUGUAGACAGUGAUACUUAUAGUGAUUCAGAUUUUGAAGAGCAUCCAUAUUCUGCAAAAAAGAAGAAAUUAUUACCUAAAACUAAGUCAGUCUCUGGCAAUUCAAAAGUAAAUGUGAAUGAGGAUGAACAAAUAAUAGGUGCAUAUAGUUGCAGAAAGGAGAAGAAAAAAACUAAGUGCAUGUCCAAGAAUGCUUUGAUGGCUAGAAUUAAUAGGCAAAAGAAAAAGAAAUACAUUGAAGACCUAGAGACUAAGAAUGCGGAGCUGGAAGGGGAAAAUCAAAUAUUAAAAGACAUGUUAAAUAAAAGUAUUGAAGAAGCUGCCUCUUUAAAGAGACAAGCCAUCAAUUUACAUAAUGUAAUUCGAAACAGUACUGAAAUUGGUUCUCUACUAAAGUGCAUUCACAAAAAUACUGAUUUACAGAUAUCUUCAUCAUUGAUAAAGGAUAUUUCAAGAAAAUCCCUAAGUGCUAUUGGUUCCAAAUUUAACGAACCAAUGUUCUCAACUCCCACAGACAUUCCUGGAAAUGAGGAAGGUAAACAUCUUUUAAACCCACCCAAUAGUUUAAUUAAAACCUCAGUAAUUUGUCCAGAAACAUAUGUCACAAAUAUUGGCUUAAGUGAUGACUCCACCAAUGAUCUAUAUCUCGGCCAAAGUAAUAUGCUGUUGGACAAUGAAAACGUAAAUAGCUUUGAAUCAGAAACCACCAAAAGAUCAUCUAGACCUCUAUCUUAUUCUCAGCCUGACAUUGCUGUAGAUGAUUUGUUUGAUAAUGUGAUCUUGGACAGUGACUUUAGGUGUAAUACUCCUUCUAGAGGUUAUGAAACACAUGAAAAUGAGGGAAAUUUAUUUGAUGAUACAGCUUUGCUUGCAGCUCUUGUGUGGGGGAUGGUGUUGCACAUUCUGCCAGCCCUACAAGAUGUCGUCAGUAAUGAACGUCUUCAACAUCAAUUAUAAAUGAUGGCCAAGUCUUCCCAGAUAUGACUAAAAAGGAGACACCAGAUUGAUAGAUGUACUUGGCUCCUCCCGUAGCUGCAAUCAACUGGCUUGGUGAUAAUCUUCUCUCAAUCAGCACUCGGAGGCCUGCCAGAGUUGUUCCUACCGAAGAGGAUGCGGUGAGAGUCCCGAGGAGUGAAGGGCCGCUUGGUAUUGACAGCCCGGACUGCCUUGUGCUCCAUCGCUGCCCGGGCCUCACUAACUAUUUCUGCAC
rnacentral:misc_RNA from 1 species